rnacentral:rRNA from 1 species
AUUGAACGCUGGCGGCAGGCCUAACACAUGCAAGUCGAGCGGAUGAAGGGAGCUUGCUCCUGGAUUCAGCGGCGGACGGGUGAGUAAUGCCUAGGAAUCUGCCUGGUAGUGGGGGAUAACGUCCGGAAACGGGCGCUAAUACCGCAUACGUCCUGAGGGAGAAAGUGGGGGAUCUUCGGACCUCACGCUAUCAGAUGAGCCUAGGUCGGAUUAGCUAGUUGGUGGGGUAAAGGCCUACUAAGGCGACGAUCCGUAACUGGUCUGAGAGGAUGAUCAGUCACACUAGAACUGAGACACGGUCCAGACUCCUACGGGAGGCAGCAGUGGGGAAUAUUGGACAAUGGGCGAAAGCCUGAUCCAGCCAUGCCGCGUGUGUGAAGAAGGUCUUCGGAUUGUAAAGCACUUUAAGUUGGGAGGAAGGGCAGUAAGUUAAUACCUUGCUGUUUUGACGUUACCAACAGAAUAAGCACCGGCUAACUUCGUG